GGAGAGGUGACCGAGUGGCUUAAGGUAACGGUUUGCUAAACCGUCGUAGGGAUACAAUCCCUACCGGGGGUUCGAAUCCCCCCCUCUCCG
rnacentral:tRNA from 1 species